rnacentral:pre_miRNA from 11 species
UGGCCGAUUUUGGCACUAGCACAUUUUUGCUUGUCUCUCCGCUCUGAGCAAUCAUGUGCAGUGCCAAUAUGGGAAA